GGGUUCUGGGAGGAAAGUGGAAAAAUUCCAUGCAUGAGCUAGAACAGCAACUCUGCGCUGGCAAGGAGUAUAAAGAAAAUACUCUGCAGGUACACCGAAGGACUGGAUGGAGGCUGUGCCUGGUGGAAAUGGACGUUCCCAGGGUGGAAAAGGGCUGUGAGCUUGCAGCUUCGGGCACCAGGAGGAAAGCUCUGGCUUCACCUGCAGAUUUGCAGCUCGGGAAUAGAGUCAGGCAAAGCCCAAGCCCUGCGGCAGCACUGGAGGGUCAGGGUCAGCGGGCAGACCAACACGGGCACCGCUGGAGGGAGCAAGGCAAAAAGCAAACACAGAAAGGUCGUGGCUUGGUUCAGAGUUGCAGAAAAAAAAAAAUGACCUCACUGGGACGUGUCCGGGCAGGGCAUUCACGGGCCGUAGGAGCUACAGCAAAUCAUUCAGGGAAACAAUAUUUCCAGUAUAAAUGAAGCAGCCCCAUUUUCUUGCCUUCGGUGUGGCUUCUCAGCAGCGGGGAUCACUGAGACACAGGCGGGCGUCCCGGCUGCGGCGUGCCGAAAGCGAGGCAUUUUCACACAAUGAACCAUAUGGGAGUCAGAGAAAAAGGUGUCGAUGUGCAGCGCAGCCUGGCCCAGUGGAUGCUGAUUGAUAAAGCUGGCAGAUGGGUAGAUCGUCAGCUUUGAAGACUGGAUUUUCUGCUGAAACUAUUAAAUAAGACAGACAGACAGAAGAACUAAAUGGCAAGGAGGGUGUGCAGUGCAGCUGCUUCCCCAAGUUGCAAGAAAUUGCUCAGUCUAAGGUUCAGAACGUGAUAUGCUAUUCCAUGUGAUGGCCACUGGUAGCGAGCUGUGUGGCAAGAUUUUGAUGCUUCAGCGCUGGAUGUUUGAUUUCCAUGCUCUGACUCUGAUUUUCCUGGAUUCUGGCUUGGAAAAUAUCUUUGCGUGGGAGUACCUGCUCAGAAGUUUUACCAGCAGGAGAUUUUCCAUUGACAUUCCGUGGAAGAGCUCAGGGUGGUCUGUGACUAAGCUGGAAAAGCUUGAAGGAUUAUUGGAUGGGCUCACAAAACUCGCACGAAAAUGUGGCUGAAGCUCAAGCAUCUGGUCUAGCCCUGCUGCUCUGCCAGAGCUGUGCUAAACUCAGGACUACUGAAGUUGUAAUGGGCCUCUAACCUGAGUUUUGCUUGCACGGUGUUUUCGGACCUUAUUCAACUAUGGCCAGAUUCUUCACCUUUACUUCCAGCAAGGCACGUGUCCCGUGGACCUCAUGGAGGAAACACUGUUCCACAAAGGGGACCUCAGCUGGGCAUGGUUUGGCCUUCAUCAUCUGGUGGUUUUAAUUAUGGAGAGGUAGGUGGGUUUCUACUUCGUCCCCUUAGAAGCACAACCCUGUGACCUAAAAGCACUCAGUACUUUUCAGGGCAAGACACUGAAAUCAAGAGGACUUUUUAAUGGGAUAGGCUUGGGGACUGACAUUCAUCACAGCCUUUUAAGGCUCAGUAGUUUAUGAGUCGAUGUAUGCAUAAUAUUUGCCAAACCAGAGGUCAAAGGAAAUAGUAAUAAUAGAGAAGGAGGAAAACAAAAUACUUUUAAGCACCCUUUUUCAAGGAGGAAUUCAUUGUGAUAGCUCAGA